rnacentral:rRNA from 1 species
CUACGGGGCGCUGCAGUAGGGAAUAUUGGACAAUGGGCGAAAGCCUGAUCCAGCAACGCCGCGUGCGCGAUGACGGCCUUCGGGUUGUAAAGCGCUUUUAGAGGAGAUGAGAAAGGACAGUAUCCUCUGAAUAAGCCUCGGCGAACUACGUGCCAGCAGCCGCGGUAAAACGUAGGAGGCUAGCGUUAUCCGGAUUUAUUGGGCGUAAAGCGCGUGCAGGCGGUCUAGCAAGUUGGAUGUGAAAGCUCCUGGCUUAACUGGGAGAGGUCGUUCAAUACUGCUAGACUAGAGAAUGGGAGAGGGAGGUGGAAUUCCGGGUGUAGUGGUGAAAUGCGUAGAUAUCCGGAGGAACACCAGUGGCGAAAGCGGCCUCCUGGACCACUUCUGACGCUAAGACGCGAAAGCUAGGGUAGCAAACGGGAUUAGAUACCCGAGUAGUC